rnacentral:rRNA from 1 species
UUUUAUGAGAGUUUGAUCCUGGCUCAGGACGAACGCUGGCGGCGUGCCUAAUACAUGCAAGUCGAACGCUUCUUUUUCCACCGGAGCUUGCUCCACCGGAAAAAGAGGAGUGGCGAACGGGUGAGUAACACGUGGGUAACCUGCCCAUCAGAAGGGGAUAACACUUGGAAACAGGUGCUAAUACCGUAUAACAAUC